UUUGUUUGUUUGAAAGCAGAAGAAAGCGCCGACGGAGAAGUCGACCGCUGCACAUUCACCUGCAGCUGCGACCAGGUCUAAAGAAUGGAAACUGUGUACAAACAUUUUUCCAACUGUCUCCUCUGGUGGGAAAAAAGACACAGAAUCGCCGGCUUCCUGUAACAACGCGCUGCCUCCCUCCUUCACAGUGCCACUGGAGCCUGGAUUGCGCGGCGCCUGCCUCUUACCGCUAUCACAGCGUCUCACAAUAGCCCGCGGCGCUCUUUUGAUCAGCCCAGGAGCUUGAUCUGAACACCUCCAAGUGCUGCUUAAACCGCAGCAGGGGAGGAAGCGCGGGGUGACAGGAGGUGAGGACGGCGGGGACGUGGAGUGUCGCAGGAACGUAAUGGUGAACGAAAAGAUGUCACUGUGAGGGUUCCAACAAACAAGGACAUAAAACUAGAGAUUACAACUACGUCACAUUAACGUUAU